rnacentral:rRNA from 1 species
GGAUUAGAUACCCUGGUAGUCCACGCCGUAAACGAUGGGUACUGGAUAUUGGGACUUCACGUCUCAGUGUCGUAGCUAACGCGUUAAGUACCCCGCCUGGGGAGUACGGUCGCAAGAUUAAAACUCAAAGGAAUUGACGGGGACCCGCACAAGCGGUGGAGCAUGUGGUUUAAUUCGAUGCAACGCGAAAAACCUUACCACCUCUUAACAUCUCGGUUUUGGAUCCCAGAAGUGGGAUUCUUCAGUUCGGCUGGACCGAUGAUAGGUGUUGCAUGGCUGUCGUCAGCUCGUGCCG